rnacentral:rRNA from 1 species
CAUGCAAGUCGAACGAGAACGUCCUCUUCGGAGGGCUAUUAAAGUGGCGGACGGGUGAGUAAUGCUUGGGAAUCUACCUGACAGUGGGGAAUAACCCGAGGAAACUCGGGCUAAUACCGCAUAAGUUCCACGGAAGAAAGGGGGCCUCUUCAUGAAUGCUCUCGCUGACGGAUGAGCCCAAGUCGGAUUAGCUGGUUCGUGAGGUAACGGCUCACGAAGGCAACGAUCCGUAGCUGGUCUGAGAGGAUGAUCAGCCACACUGGGACUGAGACACGGCCCAGACUCCUACGGGAGGCAGCAGUGGGGAAUAUUGGACAAUGGGCGAAAGCCUGAUCCAGCAAUGCCGCGUGUGUGAAGAAGGCCUGCGGGUUGUAAAGCACUUUCAGCAGGGAAGAAACGCCGGGGACUAAUACUCCCGCGGCACUGACGUUACCUGCACAAGAAGCACCGGCUAACUCCGUGCCAGCAGCCGCGGUAAUACGGAGGGUGCGAGCGUUAAUCGGAAUUACUGGGCGUAAAGCGCGCGCAGGCGGUCGAGUAAGUCAGAUGUGAAAUCCCCGGGCUUAACCUGGGAAUUGCAUUUGAUACUGCCCGACUAGAGUAUGGGAGAGGGAAGUGGAAUCUCCGGUGUAGCGGUGAAAUGCGUAGAGAUCGGAGGGAACACCAGUGGCGAAGGCGGCUUCCUGGCCCAAUACUGACG